GUGCACCAGUCGAGAAUCUUCCACAAUGGACGAAAGUCUGAUGGAGCGACGCCGCGUGCGGGAUGAAGGCCUUAUGGGUUGUAAACCGCUGUCAGGGGGAAGAACAUCGGAAUGAACAAUACUCAUUCGACUGACGUUACCCCCAGAGGAAGCUCCGGCCAAACCUCCGUGCCAGCAGCCGCGGUAAUACGGGGGGAGCAAGCGUUGUCCGGAAUUA
rnacentral:rRNA from 1 species